GCUAAACACAUUACCGAAAUCGUGGAUGUACCUUAGGGUACAUGGUAGGAGAGCGUUCUAAGGACGGCGAAGCUAGACCGUAAGGAUUGGUGGAGUGCUUAGAAGUGAGAAUGCCGGUAUGAGUAGCGAAAGAUCAGUGAGAAUCUGGUCCACCGUAUGACUAAGGUUUCCUGUACUCAAGGAUUCACUCAAUGAACUUGAUGUACUCAAGCUUUCACUUAAGGAACUUGAUGUGCUUAGGCUUUCACUUAAGGAUGAGCUUGUGCUCAAGGAUUCGCUCAACGAACUUGAUGUACUUAAGCUUUCACUUAAGGAUGAACUUGUACUCAAGGAUUCGCUCAACGAACUUGAUGUACUUAGGCUUUCACUUAGUGAGGAGCUUGUACUCAAGGAUUCGCUCAAUGAACUUGAUGUGCUUAGACUUUCACUUAGUGAGGAGCUUGUACUCAAGGAUUCACUCAAGCUGCUUGAUGU
rnacentral:rRNA from 1 species